AAUUAUUUGUGAUUAAUUAUGAAAGGCCAUAGAUGUGGAAUGAACCUUGAAUUUAUUUCAAGUGUUUUCCUGAAUCGAACCCAAUAGAGUAGGUUCGUAAUUCUCGAAUAGUCGAGAAUGAGAAGGAAUUGUGAAUCGGUUACGUUGAAAUAACGACCGAAAAUGAUAGUGUUUUGUGAAAAGUUUUUAAUGUGAUGAUUGUUUGUAUACGAUAUGAUAUCGUAUUUAUGUGGCUACGUGUUUAGAGGUCGGUAAUAGAUUUAGAAUUCUAUUUUGAAAUCGACUUAACACGAUUCCUGAAUAUAGAUGUGACGGAAAGUCAACUAUUGACGGAUCAAAUUGAAGGAGCACCGGUUGGAAUAGACCGAGUGGCUAAUAGUGGAUCAUCGUGGCGUAUUUAAUUAUUUAUGGAGCGACAGUCUGAAUAUUGCCUGUGUCUGGACAAGACUUCAUCUUUUUGAUUCUUGAAGUCUUCGUUUUGCGUAUAUGGUAAUUGGUCUUAUUUUGAUCUGUAGAGCUGCAGUAGAAUAGAUAGACAGACGCCUUAGCAUGUCAGUAUUUGCGAUGUCUGCCACGCAUGAACUCUGUUUUGUUUUCAUCGCACGAUUAUAAUAUAUUUUAACGACAUGCAUUAAGGUAAUGGAAAAUAGUUGCAACCCGGGUACACGGUAGUACCGGGAGUUUUGAGAUACAGUGUAAAGGAAACUGUACGCAACUAUGUUAUGUGUAUAAUAUGGGGCCCAGCGUGGCUAUAUGCAUGAUUGCAUAUUAUCGGUUUUGUAAAAGACGGUAUUUGAGGAAUACGCGUUAAAACGAUAACCAGUAAUUGAAAAGUAACGGUUUUAAUUUAA